GACGAACGCUGGCGGCGUGCUUAACACAUGCAAGUCGAACGGAAAGGCCCUGCUUUUGUGGGGUGCUCGAGUGGCGAACGGGUGAGUAACACGUGAGUAACCUGCCCUUGACUUUGUGAUAACUUCAGGAAACUGGGGCUAAUACCGGAUAGGAUCUCCUGCUGCAUGGUGGGGGUUGGAAAGUUUCGGCUGUUGUGGAUGUACUCGCGGCUUAUGAGCUUGUUGGUGGGGUAGUGGCUUACCAAGGCUUUGACGGGUAGCCGGCCUGAGAGGGUGAACGGCGACAAGAGGACUAAGAGACGGAGCAGAAGCGAACGGGAGGCAGUAGGCGGGAGUAUUACACAGUGGGGGGGAGCGUGAGGCAGAAACGUUGGGAGCGGAAUGACGGGCUUCGGGUUGUAAACCGAUGUGGCCUGAGACGAAGAGGAAGUGACGGUAAUGGGUAAAGAAGCACCGGCUAACUACGUG
rnacentral:rRNA from 1 species